AAGAUUAUAGUUAAAUAUAACAUUUGCAUUGCAUUCAAAAGGUAUUGGCUAGACCAAUUUUUCUUA
rnacentral:tRNA from 1 species